rnacentral:rRNA from 1 species
CCUACGGGAGACUGCAGUGGGGAAUAUUGGGCAAUGGGCGCAAGCCUGACCCAGCAACGCCGCGUGAAGGAAGAAGGCUUUCGGGUUGUAAACUUCUUGUAAGAGGGAAGAGCAGAAGAAGGUACCUCUUGAAUAAGCCACGGCUAACUACGUGCCAGCAGCCGCGGUAAUACGUAGGUGGCAAGCGUUGUCCGGAUUUACUGGGUGUAAAGGGCGUGCAGCCGGGAAGACAAGUCAGAUGUGAAAUCCCGCGGCUCAACCGCGGAACGGCAUUUGAAACUGUUUUUCUUGAGUACCGGAGAGUUCAUCGGAAUUCCUUGUGUAGCGGUGAAAUGUGUAGAUAUAAGG